rnacentral:rRNA from 1 species
UACGUAGGGUGCGAGCGUUAAUCGGAAUUACUGGGCGUAAAGCGUGCGCAGGCGGUCUUGCAAGACAGAUGUGAAAUCCCCGGGCUCAACCUGGGAAUUGCAUCUGUGACUGUAUAGCUAGAGUACGGUAGAGGGGGAUGGAAUUCCGCGUGUAGCAGUGAAAUGCGUAGAUAUGCGGAGGAACACCGAUGGCGAAGGCAACCCCCUGGACCUGUACUGACGCUCAUGCACGAAAGCGUGGGGAGCAAUCCGG